rnacentral:rRNA from 1 species
UACGGGGGGGGCAAGCGUUGUUCGGAAUUACUGGGCGUAAAGGGCUCGUAGGCGGCCAACUAAGUCAGACGUGAAAUCCCUCGGCUUAACCGGGGAACUGCGUCUGAUACUGGAUGGCUUGAGUUCGGGAGAGGGAUGCGGAAUUCCAGGUGUAGCGGUGAAAUGCGUAGAUAUCUGGAGGGACACCGGUGGCGAAGGCGGCAUCCUGGACCGAUAUUGACGCUGAUGCGCGAAAGCCAGGGGAGCAAACGGG